CUAAGAGAAAAAAAGUGAAUAUGGUUUUUGCUCACAGAAUGGAUCACAGCAAGCCACCUUUGGUUAUUCCUACACCCCUGGUGUCCCUCCAGAACCACAGCUGCACUGAAACAGCCACGCCUCUGCCAAGCCAUGACCUGAUGGAUUUAUAUGAGGAGCCCAACUGGAUGAGCAACAGAACAGACCUUCAAUAUGGACUGAAACCGGGGGAAGUGGCCACAGCCAGCAUUUUCUUUGGGGCUCUGUGGUUGUUUUCUAUCUUUGGCAACUCCCUGGUUUGUUUGGUUAUCCAUAGGAGCAGGAGGACUCAGUCUACCACCAACUACUUUGUGGUCUCCAUGGCCUGUGCUGACCUUCUCAUAAGCGUGGCCAGCACUCCAUUUGUCCUGCUCCAGUUCACCACUGGAAGGUGGACAUUGGGUACCGCAAUGUGCAAGAUGGUGCGAUACUUUCAAUAUCUCACCCCAGGUGUCCAGAUCUACGUUCUCCUCUCCAUCUGCAUUGACCGGUUCUACACCAUUGUCUACCCACUGAGCUUCAAGGUGUCCAGAGAAAAAGCCAAGAAAAUGAUUGCAGCAUCAUGGAUCUUUGAUGCAGCCUUUGUGACCCCUGUGUUCUUUUUCUAUGGCUCCAACUGGGACAGUCACUGUAACUAUUUCCUCCCUUCCUCUUGGGAAGGAACUGCUUACACUGUCAUCCACUUCUUGGUGGGCUUUGUGAUUCCAUCUGUCCUCAUAAUCUUAUUUUACCAGAAGGUCAUAAAGUAUAUUUGGAGGAUAGGUACUGAUGGCCGAACAGUGAGGAGGACAAUGAACAUUGUCCCAAGGACAAAAGUGAAAACAGUCAAGAUGUUCCUCAUUUUAAAUCUGUUGUUCUUGUUUUCUUGGCUGCCUUUUCAUGUAGUUCAGCUGUGGCACCCCCAUGAACAUGAUUAUAAGAAAAGUUCCCUUGUUUUCACAGCUGUCACAUGGAUAUCCUUUAGUUCUUCAGCCUCUAAACCUACUCUGUAUUCAAUUUAUAAUGCCAAUUUUAGGAGAGGAAUGAAAGAGACUUUUUGCAUGUCCUCAAUGAAAUGUUACCGAAGCAAUGCCUAUACUAUCACAACAAGUUCAAGGAUGGCCAAAAAGAACUAUGUUGGCAUUUCAGAAAUCCCUCCCAUAGCCAAAACUGUAACCAAAGACUCAAUCUAUGAUUCAUUUGACAGAGAAGCCAAGGAAAAGAAGCUUGCUUGGCCCAUUAACUCAAAUCCACCAAAUACUUUUGUCUGAUUUCUCAGAAUUCUUUCAAUUAUUG
rnacentral:lncRNA from 1 species